rnacentral:rRNA from 1 species
AGCGAGAUAUCUAUUUUGCUUGAAUACAGGGGGACCACCCUCUAAGCCUAAAAACCUGCUUUGAUCUAUAGCGAACAAGUACCGUGAGGGAAAGGUGAAAAAGAACCCUAAAAAGGGAGUGAAACAGUUCUUGAAAUCGGGCGCCCACAAACAGUUAAAGCUUUUUGUAUCUUGGGGCAGGUAAUAAUGUACCUUUUGUAUAAUGGCUCAGCGAGUAAGUAAACGUAGCAUGCUUAAGCCAUUUGGUGGAGGCUUAGUAAAAACAAUGCUGAUCUGUUACGUUCACUUGACCCGAAACCAAGUGAUCUAGCUAUGGGCAAGUUGAAAGAAGGGUAAUACCUUGUGGAGGACUGAACCCACGUCUGUGGCAAUAGGCGGGGAUGACCUGUGGCUAGGGGUGAAAAGCCAAUCGAACUUGGAAAUAGCUGGUUUUCUGCGAAAUCUAUUUAGGUAGAGCACAGUAAUUAAUUUUUUUACAAUGUAAACAAAGUACAAAGAUUUACAAGCACUCCGGGGGUAGAGCACUCUAUGGGCAAGGGUGGCCCAAAGCCAUACCAAUCUCAAAGAAACUCCGAAUACCGGUUGCUUUGCACUGUAGACAGACUUUUGGUGCUAAGAUCAUAAGUCUAAAGGGAAAAAGCCCAGACCGCAUGUUAAGGUCCCUAAGCAAUCUUUUAGUGGUAAAGAAGGUAAUGAGGCAAAGACAACCAGGAGGUGGGCUUGGAAGCAGCCAUCCUUUAAAGAAAGCGUAAUAGCUCACUGGUCUAGCAGCAUUACACCAAAGAUGUAACGGGGCUCAAAAGAUUCACCGAAACAACGGUUCGUAUGUUUACUCACCUUUUUGCUUUAAGACUUUACGCACUGUAAGAUUAGCAAGAGGUAGCAGAACGUUUUGUACAUCGAAAAGGAAAAGGUGAAAACCUUUUUAAAGAUAUCAAAAGUGAGAAUGCUGAGAUGAGUAACGUUAAAUCAUGUUGAAUUCAUGAUCGCCGAAAGUUCUAGGUUUUCCACAAGUUGUAUUUCAAUGUGGAGUUAGACGGCCCCUAAAAGAAACACGAAAGUGCUAAUUGAUGGGAAUUUAUACUCUAUCUUGUAGAGUGUAAUCGCAAUGAGGUGACGGGAGGAUCACGUGUAGUACAAAAGCACCGUACUACAACCAACACAGGUGAACAGGUAUAUUUUACCAAGGCGUAAAGAUAAUCAUCUUGAAGGAACUCGGCAAAUUGACUCUGUAACUUUGGGAAAAGGAGGGCCUUCUAUUUAUAUUUUAGAAGGCGACACAGAAUUGGGGGUGGCGACUGUUUAUUAAAAACACAGGACUCUGCAAAAUGGUAACAUAACGUAUAGGGUCUGACACCUGCCCGGUGCUGGAAGACGAAAGAAGGAGGUCAAGACUUCUACUGUUCGUACAGUGGCUGUUAGCGCCUCUAACAGAAAGCCCAGUAAACGGCGGCCGUAACUCUGACGGUCCUAAGGUACAUGGAUAGCGCCUUAGUAAAACUAAAUCCAGCCCUGCUUGAAAAAUUAGGGAACAAACUGAGCGAAAUUCCUUGUCUGGUAAUUUCAGACGUGCAUGAAUGGUGUCACGACUGCCCCGCUGUCUCCAAGAUGAGCUUAGUGAAAUUGAAGUCUCCGUGAAGAUGCGGAGUUCUCAAAAAAAGACGGUAAGACCCUAUGCACCUUUACUAUAACUUGAUAUUGAGGCGAUUAAUAGAUUGUGUAGGAUAGGUGGGAGCUCUCCUACUUGUGAGCUGCUCAGCUCUGCUGAGCACACCAUUGUAAGAGAGCAACCUUGAAAUACCACCCUUUUGUUUAAUCUCCUCUAACCGUGUCUGGGACAGUAGCAAGCGGGUAGUUUAAUUGGGGCGAUUGCUUCCUAAAGAGUAACGGAAGCGUGCGAAGGUAGGCUCAAGCUGGUCGGAAAUCAGUUGUAGAGCGCAAUGGUAUAAGCUUGCCUGACUGCAAGACAAACAGGUCGAGCAGGUACGAAAGUAGGCCAUAGUGACCCGGGAGUACCGUGUGGAAGGGCUCUCGCUUAACGGAUCAAAGGUACGCUAGGGAUAACAGGCUGAUGACCCCCAAGAGCCCUUAUCGACGGGGUCGUUUGGCACCUCGAUGUCGACUCAUCAUCUCCUGGAGUUGUAGAAGAUUCCAAGGGUUCGGCUGUUCGCCGAUGAAAAUGGUAAAACGUGAGUUGGGUUUAGUGCGUUGAGAAACAGUACGGAUCCUAUCUUUUUUGAGUGUAUGUGUUAAAUGCUAGGAUAUCGUUUCACGGCUUCUAGUAGAAUUAAUGCUAAAACUAAGAGAAUCAUUCUCUCGUACGAGAGGACCGAGAAUGGUGAACCUCUAGUGUACCAAUUGUCGCACCAGCGGCAUAGUUGGGUAGCCACGUUCAAAACCGAAAACUGCUGAAAGCCUAUCAAGUAGGAAACGGUGUCUCAAAACAAGUUUCUAAAAGCGUAGAAGAGUACUACGGCAUAGGUGGGAAGUGUACGCCUAGUAAUAGGUUUUGCUAACCCAUACUAAAAAAUACUGUGUCUAUUUAUAUC